UACGGAGGGGGCUAGCGUUGUUCGGAAUCACUGGGCUUAAAGGGCGCGUAGGCGGGCGACCAAGUCAGGGGUGAAAUCCCACGGCUCAACCGUGGAAGUGCCCCUUGAUACUGGUGGUCUCGAGGGAGGUAGGGGCGUGCGGAACUUCCGGUGGAGCGGUGAAAUGCGUAGAUAUCGGAAGGAACGCCGGUGGCGAAAGCGGCGCGCUGGACCUCUUCUGACGCUGAGGCGCGAAAGCUAGGGGGAGCAAACGGGG
rnacentral:rRNA from 1 species